GCACCCAUCCACGCGAGCAAGGACGAUUCGAAACUGUCGCUCCUGCAUGAGUUGUACGGGCGUGUAGCUAAAAGCUGGAAUCGGCAGAAAAAGGGAUGAGGGGAAGCGUCACCGCGCGAUUCAGUUUUUUUGGGGGGAAUAGUUGCUCUUGCUGCGUCGUUCCGAUGGUUAACACGUGAAGAAGAAUAGAGAACAACGGGUAGAUCAGGUUUGGAAUUGGG
rnacentral:misc_RNA from 1 species